GUAGGUGGCAAGCGUUGUCCGGAAUUAUUGGGCGUAAAGCGCGCGCAGGCGGUUCUUUAAGUCUGAUGUGAAAGCCCACGGGCUCAACCGUGGAGGGUCAUUGGAAACUGGAGAACUUGAGUACAGAAGAGGAAAGCGGAAUUCCACGUGUAGCGGUGAAAUGCGUAGAGAUGUGGAGGAACACCAGUGGCGAAGGCGGCUUUCUGGUCUGUAACUGACGCUGAGGCGCGAAAGCGUGGGGAGCAAACAGGAUUAGAUACCCUGGUAGUCCACGCCGUAAACGAUGAGUGCUAAGUGGUUAGGGGGUUUCCCGCCCCCUUAGUGCUGCAGCUAACGCAUUAAGCACUCCGCCUGGGGAGUACGGCCGCAAGGCUG
rnacentral:rRNA from 1 species